rnacentral:lncRNA from 1 species
UUUUCUUCUCAUUGCUCUAUCUCCGAUAGCAUGAAGCAGAUAAUGAAGAAAGAGAGAUAGAAAGUGUCUAGUGAACCGCCCUUUAGUUUAGAAAGAGGCUUAAGUCAUCAGUUCGAAUUCGAAGAAGGGAACUAGCUGCUUCAUUUAGGUCUAGCAGAAGGAGUUGGUAUGGUGACGGUGACCCUUGAUGUGACUAAGGCAGCUUUACAGUAAGUAUGAAAAUGGAGGGGAAUUCUAUUGGGCUGAAUUAAAGGCAGGUGACUUUUGGUUAGUGUUCAGUGACAAUGGUAGCUAACAUUACAUGAGAUGCGGUUGGAAGCGAGGCAGCAGUCUUUCUAUUCCUCUCUACUGAAGUUU